rnacentral:tRNA from 1 species
GCCUUCUUGGUGUAGUGGUCAACACACUCGGCGUCUAUUCGAGAGGUUCGUGGUUCGAGUCCCAGUGAGGGCA